GACGAACGCUGGCGGCGUGCUUAACACAUGCAAGUCGAACGGACAGGCCCUGCUUUUGUGGGGUUCUCGAGUGGCGAACGGGUGAGUAACACGUGAGUAACCUGCCCUUGACUUUGGGAUAACUUCAGGAAACUGGGGCUCAUACCGGAUAGGAGCUCCUGCUGCAUGGUGGGGGUUGGAAAGUUUCGGCGGUUUGGGAUGGAAUCGCGGCUUAUCAGCUUGUUGGUGGGGUAGUGGCUUACCAAGGCUUUGACGGGUAGCCGGCCUGAGAGGGUGACCGGCGACAUUGGUACUGAGAGACGGACCAGACUCCUACGGGAGGCAGCAGUGGGGAAUAUUGCACAAUGGGCGGAAGCCUGAUGCAGCAACGCCGCGUGCGGGAUGACGGCCUUCGGGUUGUAAACCGCUUUCGCCUGUGACGAAGCGUGAGUGACGGUAAUGAGUAAAGAAGCACCGGCUAACUACGUG
rnacentral:rRNA from 1 species